AUUGGUCAAUGGAGGCAACUCUAAACCAGCCAUGCCGCGUGCAGGAUGACGUUCCUAUGGAUUGUAAACUGCUUUUGUACAGGAAGAAAAAAAGAUACGUGUAGCUUAUUUACGGGACUGUAAGAAUACGGAUCGGCUAACUCCGUUCAAGCAGCCGCGGUAAUACGGAUGAUCCAAGCGUUAUCCGGAAUCAUUGGGUUUAAAGGGUCCGUAGGCGGCCUUAUAAGUAAGCGGUGAAAGAUUUUGGCUUAACCAAAAAAUUGCCGUUGAUAAUGUAGGGCUUGAAUUAUUGUGAAGUAACUAGGAUAUGUAGUGUAGCGGUGAGAUGCUUAGAUAUUACAUGGAAUACCAAUUGCGAAGGCAGGUUACUAACAAACGAUUGACGCUGAUGGACGAAAGAGUGGGUAGCGAACA
rnacentral:rRNA from 1 species